rnacentral:lncRNA from 1 species
GCGGGGCUCCCAGCCAGUAGUGGGAGGCCUGGAGGGGGAUGGAGUUUAAAAAGGUAGCAGAAAGGCCAGGAGGACGAGCUUCACUGGAGGUGGAGAAGGCUAAAAAGCACAGGCUCGAAGAGACUGCCAAGGUACAACGAUCCAACAAAGACACAUCGUAUCAACAGUAAUGAUUUCCUAAAUGUGAACCACUCUGAAAUCUCCGGGUCCCAUACUCCCAUCGCAGCUGUGUGACAUGGUCGCCGUGGCCUUUGUGUGACCAUCAAAGCUCAGAGGACGGGUGUCAGAGGCUUAGAUGAAAAUCCUGAAGACAAUUGUCUGGCACUUUUCAAAGAAAUACGGCCUCACCAAAACCCUCCUGGAAGCUCUUGAUGGCUCAAGGUUCAACAGUGUCUGGGAAGACAUGGAUAUAAAAGAUCCAGAAUCAAAGAGUGAUUCCAAAGAGUUAGAGGCUGACUGUGAGGUGUUAGACAUACUGUAACCCAGUGAUUUACCUGUCUUUGCUUUUCUGCACAUGCAGAAGAGUGAUAUAUGAUGAAUAAAUUCUAAGUUCAAUUAGGCCUAAAAGAGCUCUUGUAAUAUGCUUUAAAAAGUCUAAGUGAUAAAACAUUGUGACAGAUAGAGUUCUGUCAGUGUUUAUAUUUUCUUAGUCCUUCAUUAAAUAACAGUGUCUCUUACACCAAGGCAGUUUUGGAUUCCAUAAAAUAUGGUAGUAGUUAUGUUUUAUGUUUCAAUAGUCAUCAAUCUGUUUUUAAUGUAUUCAUGGAAAAAUAUGUGGGCCAUCUUGCUAUUUAACAAUUUUUGAAAUCUCAUGGAAGCCUGCCAAUGUUUUUGCAAUUUAGCUAAGAAGCUGUCUUGCUUUUUGAGAGGGGAAGUUCCAAUAUUGUAAGCCUAGGUUUCUGAAUAUAUUUUUGUUUUUUAAUAAAUGUAGAAAGAAUGUUUUUUGUUAAUCCUGGCAUUUGUCUAGAGCAAAAGCAAAAUAAAUGAAAAGUGAGGAAAAUUAAAAGGCUUGCGUUAUAACAUGUGCUGUAUAGAGAAUGAAAACUCAUUUGUGCAAAGUUGGUAUGGCUUUUAUGAAAAUAUUUCAGUCCGAGCACCUUGCCUGUUUGCUGCAGUGCUGACUGACUCAUGAUUAGGGAUCUGUGUUGCCUUUAUUGCUCUCGGUUUGCCCUAUGGCUUGAUUUAUUAAUAUAUUU